ACUCAGCUUGUAGGGCAGAACAUUGCUUCGCUUUCCAGUUUGGAGAUGGUGUGUGUACAACGAAGCUCUAUGUUGGCGAUGUUGUAAAUGUCAGUCAAAAUGUACUUGGAUAUUCCGUUUUCUCAUGCUACAAUGAUAGUACACAAUGCACUUUGAAAAUCCCUGACGUUAAUUAUAUGGUCAAUGCGCCGGAUCACGAGACUUGCUUUACCACUUGCUUUAACGAUCCCGAGUGUAUCGGCUAUCUUUAUAUGCCCGGCAUGUGUAUGCUCACUGCUCCAGGUGGAACCACAGUUGACAUAAACAACUUUCCGGUUAAUACAUUUGUCACUCUGGAUUGUGAUAAAUAAAAAGCAGUUGGAGAAAAGUCUACACCAAAAGCAACAAAGUACUGCGGACUGACGGA